rfam:Punica granatum cultivar Dabenzi C5197776, whole genome shotgun sequence.
GCCCCUGUGGCCUAAUGGAUAAGGCAUCGGUCUCCUAAACCGGGGAUUGAGGGUUCGAGUCCCUCCAGGGGUA